rnacentral:rRNA from 1 species
UCGAGGGCCCGAUACUCUGACCCUCCGCCCGGGGACUACGAGCACUAGCUUAAAACCCAAAGGACUUGGCGGUGCUUUACCCCCCACUAGAGGAGCCUGUUCUAGAACUGAUAACCCCCGUUGAACCUCACCAUCCCUCGUUUAACCCGCCUAUAUACCGCCGUCGUCAGCUUACCCUGUGAAGGUCAAAUAGUAAGCAAAAAUGGCUAAGCCAAAAACGUCAGGUCGAGGUGUAGUGAAUGGGAUGGGAAGAAAUGGGCUACAUUCUCUGCUUCAGAGAAUACGAAUGGCAGCCUGAAAACCCUGCCUGAAGGUGGAUUUAGCA